CCUACGGGUGGCAGCAGUGGGGAAUAUUGGACAAUGGACCAAAAGUCUGAUCCAGCAAUUCUGUGUGCACGAUGACGUUUUUCGGAAUGUAAAGUGCUUUCAGUUGGGAAGAAAAAAAUGACGGUACCAACAGAAGAAGUGACGGCUAAAUACGUGCCAGCAGCCGCGGUAAUACGUAUGUCACGAGCGUUAUCCGGAUUUAUUGGGCGUAAAGCGCGUCUAGGUGGUUAUGUAAGUCUGAUGUGAAAAUGCAGGGCUCAACUCUGUAUUGCGUUGGAAACUGUGUAACUAGAGUACUGGAGAGGUAAGCGGAACUACAAGUGUAGAGGUGAAAUUCGUAGAUAUUUGUAGGAAUGCCGAUGGGGAAGCCAGCUUACUGGACAGAUACUGACGCUGAAGCGCGAAAGCGUGGGUAGCAAACAGGAUUAGAUACCCGUGUAGUC
rnacentral:rRNA from 1 species